CUACAGUGGCCCUGAGGUGCAAAACACAACGGCAAAUCAGAAAACACAACAGCGAAAGAGAAAACACAACGGCAAAUAAGAAAACAAAACAUAAAACAGAAAAAACAACACAAAAAGAGAAAACACAAUAGUUAAUGUCGUUGUUUUCUGAUUUGCCGUUGUGUUUUGCACCUCAGGGCCACCGUAG